rnacentral:lncRNA from 1 species
GAGGAAGACAGCAGACUCGAUGGCUUAGCUAAAGCAAGCCUGGUACUUCCCUCAAGCAGCUUGUGGAUUGUAGAUUCCUGCUAGGCCCUCCAGAACCAGCCCAAGGUCUCUUCCCCCAGAUCUGUCUGCUCUCAGCAUUUUCUCCAGAAAGUUUCAGGGAAAAGUGUGAGCGUGGAGCUGCCAUCUCCAUUUCACAGGAGAGGGACACGUGCUCAGAGAAGUUCUAGAUGUACAACGCUUUCCCAACUGCAAGUUGGCCUGUGGACACGGAGCGCGUCGACUGCUGUUGAAGAGGUCAGGUGGGGAGCAAGCCCUUGCUGGGAAUCCGAGAGCGCAUUGGUUUCCUCGAAACGCUCUGCGUGGAUCAAACAGUAAGUGCUCUCCUCUCCGUGAACGUUCCAGGAGAUCCGGCUAGGAGACAUUAAGCGUUUUGGCCGAGGGCACUUGGGCUCAGGGCCCGAGAUUCGAACCCUGGUGUCUCUGACCACAAAGGGUAUCUCAGAGUUUCCUCUGAGCUAUGUCUACCGAGUCCACGCGCUGAUGGGCCGCCAACCUCUCUCCCCUCCUGCGGUCUCUGGGGAGGAUGCUUCCACCCAGACUCUGGUUGCAACCCCAGUAGACACCGGCCUGGGAUGUGAAGGUUUCUA